rnacentral:pre_miRNA from 1 species
UGAAGUGCUGUGGAUUUCUUUGUGAAUCACCAUAUUUCAGUUAAUGUGGUGGUGGUUUACAAAGUAAUUCAUAAUGCUUCA